GGAGGGAUGGCCGAGUGGUUUAAGGCGGCGGUCUUGAAAACCGUUGAGUGAAAGCUCCGUGGGUUCGAAUCCUACUCCCUCCGCCA
rnacentral:tRNA from 4 species